UAAAUAUUAGAGAUUAUAGGUUUUUUAAAAUUAAUAGGGAAAGAGGUUAAAAUCCUCUGCAGCCCCCGCUACUGUAAAGCUGAUGAAACUUUUGGGACCACUGUAAAUUUUACGGGAAGGAAAAGGAGUAAAGAGAAGCUAAGCCAGGAGACCUGCCUAUAAUUGAAAAAUUAAG
rnacentral:ncRNA from 18 species